rnacentral:rRNA from 1 species
UAGUGGCGAACGGGUGAGUAACACGUGAGUAACCUGCCCUUGACUCUGGGAUAAGCCUGGGAAACUGGGUCUAAUACCGGAUAUGACCUUCCAUCGCAUGGUGGUUGGUGGAAAGCUUUUGUGGUUUUGGAUGGACUCGCGGCCUAUCAGCUUGUUGGUGGGGUAAUGGCCUACCAAGGCGACGACGGGUAGCCGGCCUGAGAGGGUGACCGGCCACACUGGGACUGAGACACGGCCCAGACUCCUACGGGAGGCAGCAGUGGGGAAUAUUGCACAAUGGGCGCAAGCCUGAUGCAGCGACGCCGCGUGAGGGAUGACGGCCUUCGGGUUGUAAACCUCUUUCAGUAGGGAAGAAGCGAAAGUGACGGUACCUGCAGAAGAAGCGCCGGCUAACUACGUGCCAGCAGCCGCGGUAAUACGUAGGGCGCAAGCGUUAUCCGGAAUUAUUGGGCGUAAAGAGCUCGUAGGCGGUUUGUCGCGUCUGCCGUGAAAGUCCGGGGCUCAACUCCGGAUCUGCGGUGGGUACGGGCAGACUAGAGUGAUGUAGGGGAGACUGGAAUUCCUGGUGUAGCGGUGAAAUGCGCAGAUAUCAGGAGGAACACCGAUGGCGAAGGCAGGUCUCUGGGCAUUAACUGACGCUGAGGAGCGAAAGCAUGGGGAGCGAACAGGAUUAGAUACCCUGGUAGUCCAUGCCGUAAACGUUGGGCACUAGGUGUGGGGGACAUUCCACGUUUUCCGCGCCGUAGCUAACGCAUUAAGUGCCCCGCCUGGGGAGUACGGCCGCAAGGCUAAAACUCAAAGGAAUUGACGGGGGCCCGCACAAGCGGCGGAGCAUGCGGAUUAAUUCGAUGCAACGCGAAGAACCUUACCAAGGCUUGACAUGGACCGGACCGCCGCAGAAAUGUGGUUUCCCCUUUGGGGCCGGUUUACAGGUGGUGCAUGGUUGUCGUCAGCUCGUGUCGUGAGAUGUUGGGUUAAGUCCCGCAACGAGCGCAACCCUCGUUCUAUGUUGCCAGCGGUUCGGCCGGGGACUCAUAGGAGACUGCCGGGGUCAACUCGGAGGAAGGUGGGGACGACGUCAAAUCAUCAUGCCCCUUAUGUCUUGGGCUUCACGCAUGCUACAAUGGCCGGUACAAAGGGUUGCGAUACUGUGAGGUGGAGCUAAUCCCAAAAAGCCGGUCUCAGUUCGGAUUGGGGUCUGCAACUCGACCCCAUGAAGUCGGAGUCGCUAGUAAUCGCAGAUCAGCAACGCUGCGGUGAAUACGUUCCCGGGCCUUGUACACACCGCCCGUCAA